UUGAUGAACCAUUAGAAAUUCUUUCUAAUGUUCAUUCUUACUUUGAUCAGAGACUCUCUGAGUUAUCAUCCUAUGAGACCACAUAGGAUAUUUUUUCCUCUUAAAAAGAGUGAGUGAUUCUUUAUUGACCACUCACAAUCUUUAUGCAUAUUUCAUCAUAUCCAAAACAUCCCACACAUGUCUCAAAGAGUUAUGCUAGAGUAUG
rnacentral:lncRNA from 1 species